AUACGGAGGAACCGAGCGUUAUCCGGAUUUAUUGGGUUUAAAGGGUGCGCAGGCGGCCAUUUAAGUCAGCGGUUAAAUCGUGGGGCUCAACCCCAUUCUGCCGUUGAUACUGGGUGGCUUGAUUGCGGUCGAGGUUGGCGGAAUUCGUUGUGUAGCGGUGAAAUGCAUAGAUAUGACGAAGAACUCCGAUUGCGUAGGCAGCUGACCAGACCGCAAAUGACGCUCAUGCACGAAAGUGCGGGGAUCGAACAGGAUUAGAUACCCUGGUAGUCCGCACAGUAAACGAUGAAUACUUGUUUUCGGCGAUAUAAUGUCGGAGGCAAAGCGAAAGCGAUAAGUAUUCCACCUGGGGAGUACGCCGGCAACGGUGAAACUCAAAGGAAUUGACGGGG
rnacentral:rRNA from 1 species